rnacentral:rRNA from 1 species
GACGAACGCUGGCGGCAGGCCUAACACAUGCAAGUCGACCGAGUGGCGGACGGGUGAGUAAUGUAUGGGGAUCUGCCUGAUAGAGGGGGAUAACUACUGGAAACGGUAGCUAAUACCGCAUACUAUCAGAUGUGCCCAUAUGGGAUUAGCUUGUUGGUGGGGUAACGGCUCACCUAGGCGACGAUCCCUAGCUGGUCUGAGAGGAUGAUCAGCCACACUGGGACUGAGACAGGGGCCAGACUCCUACGGGAGGCAGCAGUGGGGAAUAUUGCACAAUGGGCGCAAGCCUGAUGCAGCCAUGCCGCGUGUAUGAAGAAGGCCUUAGGGUUGUAAAGUACUUUCAGCGGGGAGGCGUUACCCGCAGAAGAAGCACCGGCUAACUCCGUGCCAGCAGCCGCGGUAAUAC